UCCUACAGCCAUAUGGCUCUGGGUGUGCCAGAUCUUGUCUGCUCUCUCAAGCUAAAGCAGGGCUGUGCCUGGUCAGUACCUGGAUGGGAGGCUACCUGGGAACACAGUGUUGUAGGCU
rnacentral:rRNA from 1 species